AAAAAUUUGUUUCCGUUGUUAGACUAACAUAAUAAAUUAUGUUAACUUAAAGGGACCAACAUCCUGCUCUAUGGCGAGAAACAACGUUUGGUCGAGUCACGUUCGAAAUGACGGAAAGUCGGAUUAGACCAAAUAAUGUUCGAAAUGGCGUGAGACUGAAUGAUCCGAGUCAAAGUCGAAAUUCCCAAACGUUAUAUCUGAACGUUUUAAGGCUUUGUUUGGUUCGAAAAUUAAUAGGAACUAGUUAUACCGAGAAUAGGUAUAAGUAUGGAUUUUUGUAAGAACGAGAGUAUUUUUUUGUUUGAAUGAAAAUGUGAAUAUAAGCUGAAAGUAGAAAAAUUGUGUUUGGAUGGUUAUUGAAAAUAAGAGAAAUAGUUGAUGGUUAUAAUAGAAAAUAAUGAUAUUACUCAUAUAAUUGAAUUUAAAUUUUUAAAUUUUAAACUUAUAAUUUUAAAUUAAAAAUUUUAACUUUUAAAUUUUAAAAUUCAAAAUUUAAUUUUAAAAAUUUUAAUUUUAAAUAUCAAAUUUUAAAUUUAAAGCCAAAUUUAAAUUUAAAAGAUAUAAAAUAUCAAAUUUAAAAUUUAAAAUUUAAAAUUUUAAUUUUAAAAUUAUAAAUUUUAAAAUUUUAUAUUCUAAUUUAAAAUAAAUCUCUCUCUCUCUUUCUCUCUCUACCCAGGGGGUGGGAGGGAACAAGUUGUUCCCACCCAUACCCGGUUAUGGGUGGCAACAACUUAGUCCCACGCCCCCCACCCCCCAUUUCCUAUUUGGGUACAAGAGGGGAGAUAACCUCCUUAUCUCCUCUCUUGUACCUAAUCCAAAUGCUAUCUAAGUGAAUUACUUAUAUCUUUUUAAUAGCUCGAGUUUUUGAAAUUAAUGAUAGCGCAAAUAAUCCGACAGGUGUAUUAUAAUCAAAGAUCACGGAUUUAAUUCCUACAUAAUGUGAAUUUAUACAGUGAUUAAUGAUUAGCAUUAAUGAUCCGACAAGUUAGUAAUUCUAUCAACACAAACUCCAAGAUAUAUGUUAAAAUGAAACUAAAGUAACUCU
rnacentral:lncRNA from 1 species